GAGUCAGAGAACAAGGAGGGGAUUCCCAGCCUGUGUUCUGACUCACACACUGAGCUGCAGGGAGGCUAUUUCGGAGUGUACCAGCAGGGGACGCAGAGCCAGGUUGCUCCCCCGCAGUCACUCUGUACAUAGGGAUCAGCUCUCUAGAUCCCCUGCACCUGCUGCCUGCCUGGGAAGGAGCUGCUGCCCCUGCACCCUCCUAAAUGGUAACUAUUAUACCACCACCCUCCCUGCCCUAUACCCCCACUGCCA